rnacentral:rRNA from 1 species
GACGAACCGAGCGAACGUUAUUCGGAAUCACUGGGCUUAAAGGGCGCGUAGGCGGGCGAUCAAGUCAGGGGUGAAAGCCCCCAGCUCAACUGGGGAAGUGCCUUUGAUACUGGUCAUCUCGAGGGAGGUAGGGGCGUGCGGAACUUCCGGUGGAGCGGUGAAAUGCGUAGAUAUCGGAAGGAACACCGGUGGCGAAAGCGGCGCGCUGGACCUCUUCUGACGCUGAGGCGCGAAAGCCAGGGGAGCGAACGGG